rnacentral:tRNA from 1 species
UCCCUGGUGGCUCAGAUGGUAGAGUCUGCCUGCAGUGCAGGAGACCUGGGUUUGAUCCCCAGUUUGAGAA